CCUACGGGUGGCAGCAGUAGGGAAUAUUGCUCAAUGGGGGGAACCCUGAAGCAGCAACGCCGCGUGGGGGAGGAAGGUUCUCGGAUUGUAAAGCCCUUUUGUUAGAGAAGAUAAUGACGGUACCUGACGAAUAAGCACCGGCUAACUACGUGCCAGCAGCCGCGGUAAUACGGAGGGUGCAAGCGUUAUUCGGAAUCACUGGGCGUAAAGAGGGCGUAGGCGGGUUAGCAAGUCAGGUGUGAAAGCCUAGGGCCUAACCACAGAACUGCAGUUGAAACUGGUAUGCUAGAGUGUGGGAGAGGUAGGUGGAAUUCGUGGUGUAGCGGUGAAAUGCGUAGAGAUCGAGAGGAAUACUGAUUGCGAAGGCGGCAUGCUGGAUCAUAACUGACGCUGAGGCGCGAAAGCGUGGGGAGCAAACAGGAUUAGAUACCCGUGUAGUC
rnacentral:rRNA from 1 species